AGCCCGCCGCGCUCGCGCCGCUCGCCGCCAUCUUUGUGCCGGGCAGCGCCCCCCGUCGCCAUCUUUGAGCGGGGCGCUCCCGGCGGCCUUCUAUUCAUCGGACAGGAGGAAAGAAGUGUGAAUUCCUGAGCCCUUUGGCAAACACGACGUCAGAAGAACGUUUGAAGUAUGCUCGUCGCCUCCUGGGUUUAACCAACAUUGCGCGGCAACAAAUGGACAUAGGAAGCAAAAAGCCACCACACAGUGUUAUUUCAACUCAUCAAUAAGCGGUGCGGAGAGAUGUCACUGUGUACCAAACAUCAGUGGGAGCGUCAUACCACAGUGAGCUGCUUCAGAGACACCGGGUGUGAAUGCUUGUCCGACUGACCCCAGUAAAGGCGCCCGGCCUGGGAAGGAGGCGCAGCGGCAGUGCGGCCGUGUGGCGGUGCUGGGAGCAGAGGUGAAGGCCUCAGGUGCAGCAGGGGAUGUUCCAGCUCACAGCUCUGCACCGCUCUGUUCCUUCGCUGCAGAUGGGAAGCCAGCCAUGCGAUGUGCCAGACCUGCAGCAAGCAAGUGCGCAGCCGUAGAAUGGGAUCCUUGACUGGACUACCAAGUCAUCACAUAAACCAGAAACACGCUUGUGUCGUUAGAGUGAACCCACUGCUCCUGAUUCUGAUUUUGCUAAACUUCAAAUCCAAGCUGCCACAAGGACAACUCCAAGCUGCCACCAGGAAUGCCAGUUCCUUACCUGCAGCAAAUCAGGGGCGGGUAAAUGACACGCAGCCUUUCACUGCAGCUCCCUACAUGGGUUUAAGUCGCAGUUUUAAGCACAAACUGAAUGAAUUCAAAAACACUUCUGCAGCAGAUCAAGUGUUAAAAGAAUACUGCUGCUUCCAUUCCGUUCCAUCCAGCACACACAGCAAACCACACAGCCCUGCUCAGGCACACAGCUAAGCAAGCUUUACCAGUGCUGAGCAUGUUGUAGCGAGCUGAAAUAAAGGUGAAUAUGCAGAGCUUCGCCCUCCUAAAGGUGCGGUAUCUGCAAUGAGUGGAAAGAGCUAUGGGAAGCGUUGAGAGCGACGUCUCAAAAGGAAAAGAAGAGAAAUCACACAACAGAGACCAGACAACAAUAAAAAACAAGUCAAAAGCAGUUUGAGCAAGUCUUUAUUAUUCUACUUCGCCAACUAGAAAUAAGAUAGACAAAUUCCCCACCCCUUCUGUCAGGACGUGAUGAGACCUGCUUGAAACACAUGCUUUGAAAAAGGUAAAAAAUACUUCUGUGAUUCGUGCCCUGCAGCCAAACUUGAAUGACCCUGAGAAAAGUCUGUGCAGACAAGUCAGUGGAGAUCGAUGUGCAGCUCGUCGCUUCCCUUUUAAAUCCCCCUUUGUGUUAUUGCUUUCAAAUUGAGUUUGUUUUUCUGUUGCUUUUUUUCCUUUUUUUUAAAAAAAAAAACAAAAACAAAGUGUUAUCCUUGACUGAACCCCACCGUGCAGUGCUACAGCGUCGCUUCUUAUUACAAACACCGGAAUUGCCUCGAAAAUAUAAACGUGUAAAACAACCACCCGGCUGUACAGUGCACUUACAGGACAUGAUCCCGAGGAACAGGCAGACUGCAGACGUGCUGUACACGUUAGCCCUUGGCCACACAGGAUUGGCAGUACGAUUACAGCUUGAAUGACACGGGGUGAAAACUACCGUUGCUACUAAUUAAAAAAAAAAAAGAACCGAGACCUCCGUUACAAUUAAGUUUAUCACAGAACUGGGAUACAUACAUAAUUGUACAAGGAACAGUAACUUCUAACUAGAAACUGUCAUCAUGUUGUAACUCUCGGACGGGCUGGACCGGCCAGUUCUCCACUUCUCCUUACAGCUGCUCCUGCUCUCCAGGGCUUUGCUCGCCUUCGCCCCGGGCUGCGGGCUUUCAUAGAGGACGCAGAUAGAGCCGUCCUCGCCUAUCCGAUAGGACACCUCGAAAGGGUCGACCCAAAGAGUCAGUUCGCUGGGCAAGAGCUGGAAGAGUCUCUCGUGGCUCAGUCCGAUCAUCGCCGCCGCCUUGCCUAUCAGCGGGUCCAUCUGAUGGUUGAUCCUAAUGCACCGGUACCCGGAGCCCUUGGUCGGCGCCGUGGGGAACCAGUGGUGCUUGUAGUGCUCUGCGGGAGGGAACAAAGAGCAGCGUUAGCACCCGCCGCUGCGCCGCGGACACCGACCGGGCCGGGCCCCCGCUCACCGCGCAGCGCCUCCUGCAGGCACUCCCGGAAGCACCGCAGCUGCUCCUCGCCGAUACCGCCGGCGGCCCGCAGGAGGCGGGUGACGAACGCCGCAGCCGUGGAGAUCUCGGUUCUCAUGGCCGCUCGGCCGCCGCUCGCCGCCGCUCCGGCCCCGGCCCGCCGCUAGCGCCGCCGCGCCGCUCCGCCCGGCCCGCCGCUCCGGCCA
rnacentral:lncRNA from 7 species